UUUUAACAUUAUUUUCUUUUUUCAAAGGGGCAGCAGUCUUGCAACUGUUUCCCCGACUGCUAUUUUAUUUAAUAAAAACCAAACCAACCCCAGCAGAGAGGUAGAAAGCAGCAACUGAGAGCGUGCUCCUGCACACCACACAGGCUUUGCUGCCACAGCGCGCAAUGGUGGCUGAGUCCCCUUGCCCUGCCAGAAUCCUUCUGUAGCUUCAAAGCCAGCAAGGCCUGAUAGUCCCGCGCAUGCGUCUAAAGUACAGCUUCGCCUUCUCGUCUCUACCCCCUUCAGUCUCUGGUGACGUGCAAUGCGGAGGCGGAGCCCGAGCCUGUGGCGGGAGUGGGGGAGGAACUGCGAGGUGUGUGUGGACGUCAGACUGGAUAGCGGAAGGUCAGGGCGGCCCGGAGCGGAAGUGGGGCUCUGGAGCUUGUCCGCCAUUGUGGGCCCGAGGAUCGGAGGACGAGCGGGGACGAGCAGUGUGCAGGCGGCGAGCUCGGGCCCCUUCCGCGACUCCCGAGCGCGAGCCCGCUUCCUGGAGCCUACAAGAGCGGCAGCGGCAAAGGCAGAGCUUCGCGAGGGCGACAGUCGACUGCUGUGAGUGCUCUCGGAGAGGCCCAGGCGGCGGCGGUUCCUCUCGGGUUACGGUGAAGAAUGUCAGCCACUAGCGUGGAUCAGGUGAGGGAGCAGGGCCCCGGCUCGGCGAAGGCCGGAGCCGCAGAGCUCCACCCUCGCGUGCGGCGCGGCUCCUCUAGCGGCCGCUAGCU
rnacentral:lncRNA from 1 species